rnacentral:rRNA from 1 species
AGAGUUUGAUCCUGGCUCAGGACGAACGCUGGCGGCGCGCCUAACACAUGCAAGUCGAACGGAGUUAUUUGAGAUGAAGUUUUCGGACAGAAUUUCUUAUAACUUAGUGGCGGACGGGUGAGUAACACGUGAGCAACCUGCCUUUGCGAGGGGGACAACAUUUGGAAACGAAUGCUAAUACCGCAUAAUGUCUUGAAACCGCAUGAUUUUAAGACCAAAGAUUUAUCGCGCAAAGAUGGGCUCGCGGCUGAUUAGAUAGUUGGCAGGGUAACGGCCCACCAAGUCGACGAUCAGUAGCCGGACUGAGAGGUUGAUCGGCCACAUUGGGACUGAGACACGGCCCAGACUCCUACGGGAGGCAGCAGUGGGGGAUAUUGCACAAUGGGGGAAACCCUGAUGCAGCGACGCCGCGUGAGGGAAGAAGGUUUUCGGAUUGUAAACCUCUGUCUUAUGGGACGAUAAUGACGGUACCAUAGGAGGAAGCCACGGCUAACUACGUGCCAGCAGCCGCGGUAAUACGUAGGUGGCAAGCGUUGUCCGGAAUUACUGGGUGUAAAGGGAGCGUAGGCGGGAAUGCAAGUUGAAUGUUUAAUCUAUCGGCUCAACUGAUAGUCGCGUUCAAAACUGCGUUUCUUGAGUGAAGUAGAGGCAAGCGGAAUUCCUAGUGUAGCGGUGAAAUGCGUAGAUAUUAGGAGGAACACCAGUGGCGAAGGCGGCUUGCUGGGCUUUUACUGACGCUGAGGCUCGAAAGUGUGGGUAGCAAACAGGAUUAGAUACCCUGGUAGUCCACACUGUAAACGAUGAUUACUAGGUGUGGGGGGACUGACCCCUUCCGUGCCGCAGUUAACACAAUAAGUAAUCCACCUGGGGAGUACGACCGCAAGGUUGAAACUCAAAGGAAUUGACGGGGGCCCGCACAAGCAGUGGAGUAUGUGGUUUAAUUCGAAGCAACGCGAAGAACCUUACCAGGUCUUGACAUCCAACUAACGAAGUAGAGAUACAUUAGGUGCCCUUCGGGGAAAGUUGAGACAGGUGGUGCAUGGUUGUCGUCAGCUCGUGUCGUGAGAUGUUGGGUUAAGUCCCGCAACGAGCGCAACCCCUAUUACUAGUUGCUACGCAAGAGCACUCUAGUGAGACUGCCGUUGACAAAACGGAGGAAGGUGGGGAUGACGUCAAAUCAUCAUGCCCCUUAUGACCUGGGCAACACACGUACUACAAUGGCCGUCAACAGAGGGAAGCAAAGCAGUGAUGCAGAGCAAAUCCCUAAAAACGGUCUCAGUUCGGAUUGUAGGCUGCAACCCGCCUACAUGAAGUCGGAAUUGCUAGUAAUCGCGGAUCAGCAUGCCGCGGUGAAUACGUUCCCGGGCCUUGCACUCACCGCCCGUCA